GAAGAUUCUGCCACUGCUGAGAAAGUCAUUUCAAUACUUGGAGGCCAAGAUGGGAUAUUACUGAUUUGAUGUCUCAUGGAGAUCUCAGAGGAGCUUGGUUGCAGCUGGAAAUGGAACUGAACAGAAAAAAAACUUCAACAGCAAAAACUGGACGAGGUGGGGGAAAGAAUUAAAGCUGCUCCCCAGGCAUGAUAAUUCAUGAAACUACCAAUUUUGGAGACUUGACACCUUUAUUGCAGCAGCUGGUGCUAACUGCUGUAGGAGACUGUGGGACAGCUGAUGUAUUGCACCCAGUCAAUUUUCUCCAACCUAUGGAGCUCAGAGUCCUGGCACAAGGACCUUCCACUCUGACCGCCAAGCUUUCCCCCAGAGAACAAGCUAUGUUGGCAACACCGAUGACCCCCCAGUCACAAAAGGACAAGCCAAAGCUUUGUGUUAUCUGAAUUUCACAAAAUGUCUACUUACCCCCUGCUUUGAGCAGGCUGUAAAGAAAGGGAAAGAUGUUGUUACUGGUUCUGGAAUGAGUCCUUCACACCAGCAGACUGGGAUGGAUCCAGCUGGUGAAAGAAACAUCAUGGAAACAAAAUCCACAGAGGAUCCACAUGGAAAAGAAUUCCUGAAGCCAAACACCAACAGAUCUCGGUAGUAUGUUGCAAACCAGACUUGAUAAAUAUGGCACUGCUAUAGGGC
ensembl:lncRNA